GGUAGGUACUCGAGUGGCGAACGGGUGAGUAACACGUGGGUGAUCUGCCCUGCACUCUGGGAUAAGCCUGGGAAACCGGGUCUAAUACCGGAUAGGACCAUGCUUUAGUGUGUGUGGUGGAAAGUUUUUCGGUGUAGGAUGAGCCCGCGGCCUAUCAGCUUGUUGGUGGGGUAAUGGCCUACCAAGGCGGCGACGGGUAGCCGGACUGAGAGGUUGGUCGGCCACAUUGGGACUGAGAUACGGCCCAG
rnacentral:rRNA from 1 species